CAUUGAUUUAAAGGGUCAUUUGUUUAAUAUAAUAAUGGUUUAAAAAUAAGACUUAUAUUUAUUUACAUGUAGUAUAAUUACAGAUGCUGUUUACCCCCGCCCCUCUCCUUUUCCAUAUUGUGCCAUAUAAAAUGUUGAAGAGGUGAUAGGUAGAUGGGAGCAUAUGUCUUCCCCGAUUCGUGUGGAAACUUAAUAGAUCUUACCGCCCCC
rnacentral:lncRNA from 1 species